AGAGUUUGAUCCUGGCUCAGGACGAACGCUGGCGGCGUGCCUAACACAUGCAAGUCGAACGGAGUUGAAAGGAGCUUGCUUUUUUCAACUCAGUGGCGGACGGGUGAGUAACGCGUGAGUAACCUGCCUUUCAGAGGGGGAUAACGUUCUGAAAAGAACGCUAAUACCGCAUAAGAUUGUAGUUUCGCAUGGAGCAGCAAUCAAAGGAGCAAUCCGCUGAAAGAUGGACUCGCGUCCGAUUAGAUAGUUGGCGGGGUAACGGCCCACCAAGUCGACGAUCGGUAGCCGGACUGAGAGGUUGAUCGGCCACAUUGGGACUGAGACACGGCCCAGACUCCUACGGGAGGCAGCAGUGAGGGAUAUUGGGCAAUGGGGGAAACCCUGACCCAGCAACGCCGCGUGAGGGAUGACGGUUUUCGGAUUGUAAACCUCUGUCCUCUGUGAAGAUAGUGACGGUAGCAGAGGAGGAAGCUCCGGCUAACUACGUGCCAGCAGCCGCGGUAAUACGUAGGGAGCAAGCGUUGUCCGGAUUUACUGGGUGUAAAGGGUGCGUAGGCGGAUUGGCAAGUCAGAAGUGAAAUCCAUGGGCUUAACCCAUGAACUGCUUUUGAAACUGUUAGUCUUGAGUGAAGUAGAGGUAGGCGGAAUUCCCGGUGUAGCGGUGAAAUGCGUAGAGAUCGGGAGGAACACCAGUGGCGAAGGCGGCCUACUGGGCUUUAACUGACGCUGAGGCACGAAAGUGUGGGUAGCAAACAGGAUUAGAUACCCUGGUAGUCCACACUGUAAACGAUGAUUACUAGGUGUUGGAGGAUUGACCCCUUCAGUGCCGCAGUUAACACAAUAAGUAAUCCACCUGGGGAGUACGACCGCAAGGUUGAAACUCAAAGGAAUUGACGGGGGCCC
rnacentral:rRNA from 1 species